GCUCUGGUGGCACAAUGGUUAAGCGUUCAGCUGCUAACAGAAAGGUUGGUGACUCAAAUCCACCCAGCAGCU
rnacentral:tRNA from 1 species